AGAGCGAACGCUGGCGGCAGGCUUAACACAUGCAAGUCGAGCGGGCGUAGCAAUACGUCAGCGGCAGACGGGUGAGUAACGCGUGGGAACAUACCUUUUGGUUCGGAACAACACAGGGAAACUUGUGCUAAUACCGGAUAAGCCCUUACGGGGAAAGAUUUAUCGCCGAAAGAUUGGCCCGCGUCUGAUUAGCUAGUUGGUGAGGUAACGGCUCACCAAGGCGACGAUCAGUAGCUGGUCUGAGAGGAUGAUCAGCCACAUUGGGACUGAGACACGGCCCAGACUCCUACGGGAGGCAGCAGUGGGGAAUAUUGGACAAUGGGCGCAAGCCUGAUCCAGCCAUGCCGCGUGGAUGAUGAAGGCCUUAGGGUUGUAAAGUCCUUUUAACGGGAAGAUAAUGACGGUACCGUAGAAUAAGCCCGGCUAACUUCGUGCCAGCAGCCGC
rnacentral:rRNA from 1 species